CUGGCGGGUGCUUACCUGCAAGUCGAACGGACCGCAAGGUCAGUGGCGGACGGGUGCGUAACACGUAGGUGACCUGCCCUGGAGUGGGGAAUAAUUCCGCGAAAGCGGGACUAAUACCGCAUACGCAGCGUGGUUCAGUUCACGUUGUAAAGUCGACGCGCAAGCGGAGAUGCUUCAGGAUGGGCCUGCGGCGGAUUAGCUAGUUGGUGGGGUAACGGCCUACCAAGGCGAUGACCCGUAGGGGGCGUGAGAGCGUGACCCCCCACAUUGGCACUGAGACACGGGCCAAACUCCUACGGGAGGCAGCAGUGAGGAAUAUUGCGCAAUGGGCGAAAGCCUGACGCAGCAACGCCGCGUGAGGGACGAAGGCCUUCGGGUCGUAAACCUCUUUUCUGAGGGACGAGACCAGGACGGUACCUCAGGAAUAAGUCUCGGCUAACUACGUGCCAGCAGCCGCGGUAAAACGUAGGAGGCGAGCGUUAUCCGGAUUUACUGGGCGUAAAGGGUGUGCAGGCGGGCCGUUAAGUGGUGCAUGAAAGCCGAGGGCUCAACCCUCGGAGGCUGUGCCAGACUGGCGGGCUAGAGUGCGGGAGAGGGCUGUGGAAUUCCGGGUGUAGUGGUGAAAUGCGUAGAGAUCCGGAGGAACACCAGAGGCGAAGGCGGCAGCCUGGUCCGCAACUGACGCUGAGACACGACAGCAUGGGGAGCGAACGGGAUUAGAAACCCCGGUAGUCCAUGCCGUAAACGAUGACUGCUGGGCGUCGGAUGGCUAACACCGUUCGGG
rnacentral:rRNA from 1 species